rnacentral:rRNA from 1 species
CGCUGUGGAACCACCCGAUCCCAUCCCGAACUCGGAAGUGAAACGCAGCUGCGCCGAUGGUAGUGUGGCUCAAGCCAUGCGAGAGUAGGUCAUCGUCAGGG